UCAGCAAUCCGCGUGAAUCCACGAACGGCUGCGCGAACGCCUCCUCCGCGCAUGCGCCGCCGACUCGAUUUGUUUUGAACUUGAAUUAAAAGCCUCAUCGGUUACUUCCUGGCGUGUUUACUUAGUUUAAGCCAAGGAAGGGUGUCAUCACAGCAGUCAUGGGGAGCACCAGCCCACAGGUCAAGAAUUUCAUUUAUCUCGCCUACGAUUACCGAAG